AUUUGAUGUUGUGGAUAUUUAAUGAUAAGCUUAUUAAAUUGCUCCCAAUAUUCAUGGAAAAUUUCACCUGAUUCUUGCUUAAUACCUCAUAUUUCAUUCCUCAUAAU